UAUCCAAUUUGUAACUGAAUAUCUAGAGAUUUAUACAAUUUAUUUAUUCAUACAUAAGAAAAUUUUGCAAAAAAACAGCUUUAAUUAGAAAAUAGAAACAAAAUUGUAAUUGGCUACUGGAAACCCGUCGUAAAGCGAGCCUUAUAAACAACGUUAUAAAUUAAGAUUAUGUUCCUAAAAAUGAUUUUAAUUGUAUAAAUAUCACACAAGAUCGACAAACAAAGGAUUCAGAUUCUUAUAAGUUACAAUAGAAAAUUUAUACUAGUAAAAUCAAGGAAUAUAAGUCUACAGUCGUAAAGCAAGAAUAAAGUAUUUCACAAAUGUCACUGUUAUCAAAUAAGAACGAAUUUUCAAGAUCUGUUAUUUCAAAAUCUCUAUUCCCUUCCGGAAAGGAUAAGCCUGAAG